CGCCCCUCGCUACGCUUCCAUCGCCCGCCGCCUCCUCGCCGUUGCCCGGAGCUGCCCCACCGCCGCCCGUCCGCCCGGAGCCCGGGGCGUGAGCCGGCAACCCGGUCCGACAAGCCACCAUCUCCCGGAGCCGCCCCACCGUCGCCCGGAGCCCAUGUGUCUUCGAGAUUGAUUUGGAGGAACAUCGAGAAACUGAAAGGGACUGCUUCGAUGGUUCAUGUGUUCUGUUAGUCAUAUCCUUUUUGGUUUGCACUCCCCUGUUCAUCUAGUUUGAUAUUCAAAUUGUUAAGUUAUACAAAUUGACAGUGAUAAUGGUGUAGCGGUAAUUUUUUUUCCUAAUGCUGUUACAUGCAAAAAGGUGUCAUGGAAAAUUCUUCUUAUAUUUUCUUUUUCUCCAACCCGUGAAAUAGGAAAAUUGCAUGUACGAUGUUGGCAAGGCCUAUUCUCUAAGUGCUUUAUCCUCAUCUUCUCUCUAUUAUUAGGAUGGUAAACAUGAGUUUCUUCCCCGGAGCAUGAAUCAAAUUUAGUUCCCUAGCCCCAACUAAUAUCGACUGGACAUUGUGGUCCUUUAAAGUUUCAUUGCAACUAGUGCAAAUUUAAUUCACUUUCAAGUUUCAACCGAUGAUUUGCUGCUGCUGCUGCUGCUAUUUAUUGUCAUCCUUUCCAAUUUAAACUGCGCUACUGCUGUGAUUAAUUACUUGGUUGAUGUAUUGAACAGCACACCAAACUGAUUUGCUACUUUGAUGGUUUAUGAUCUGAAGCCUCCUUUCUUCCUCAGGAUUAAGAGGGACUAAGAUUUAAGAGGUUAAAAAGUAUACGUUCUCUUACAAUUUAGUUUUAUUUCAGUUAUCAAAUAGUGUUCAGACUUUUUUUUGAUAAGCAUAGUCCUUUUGAUAAACAGAUACAUGAUUAGUGACCACAGGUAGCUUGGAGAAACAUUUGCUGACCAUUCAUCAGUUUGGAGAAUUAUAUUCUAGCUCUUCAUUUGUCAAUUGCUGGUUUGCUCUCGGACUGAGUUAUGUAGUACCCAGGCCUGAAAUAUAAAGUUAUCAGGGGUGGUUGACAUAUGGUGAUCCCCGGUCGAUGAUACCCGGAGGUAGUGAAUCAGCUGAUGCAUUCAAGUUGUGAUGGAGUAAGUACCAGAGAAUCUUACCCCUAAUAUCAUCAAAGUCAGAGUCACAGAACUCAAGUUGACGAGUAUCUGGAUUAUAGUGCUUCAUGAACAUCAUCACAAAGAACCCGCAGUCCAUACUGCUGGGUUCCUGCUGAGCGAUAUAUUUAGCAGGUAUAAUUGGCAUGCUCCAAUCUGAGAAGUUGGGGUGUUCCUUGGAGAUCAACGAAAUAACAUUACUCAGCUUUUUCCUCAUACAAACUGCGAUCUUUUGGUGAUAUUUUUGCUUGUCAUUGACCGUCGAGGUCCAGGAGUCCAAUAUAUCGAUUUGUUCAUAAUUUUUGUUGAUAACAUAAACUGUCAAGUGCAACUUAUAGCAGACGGGCACAAAUAUCUAUGUAAAAAAUAACCAUGAUACUAUGUAAGAAUUCAAAUUGGAUGGUAUCAAGGAAUUGGUUAAUCUCGAUCACA